ACUCAAAUGAAUUGACGGGGACCCGCACAAGCGGAGGAUGAUGUGGUUUAAUAUGACGCUACGCGUAGAACCUUACCGAGGCUUGACAUCCUGAGAAUCCCCUGGAAACAGGGGAGUGCCUUCGGGAGCUCAGUGACAGGUGCUGCAUGGCCGUCGUCAGCUCGUGUUGUGAAAUGUUGGGUUAAGUCCCGCAACGAGCGCAACCCUUGUCGUAUGUUGUAUUUUUCAUGCGAGACUGCCCGGGCCAACCGGGAGGAAGGUGGGGAUGAAGUCAGGUCGGCAUGGCCCUUACGCCUCGGGCCACACACGUCAUACAAUGGCCGGUACAACGCGCUGCUAAGCCGCGAGGCGGAGCAAAUCGCAUCAAAACCGGUCCCAGUUCGGAUUGCAGGCUGCAACUCGCCUGCAUGAAGUCGGAUUCGCUAGUAACCGCAGGUCAGCAUACUGCGGUGAAUACGUUCCCGGGUCUUGUACACACCGCCCGU
rnacentral:rRNA from 1 species